GACGAACGCUGGCGGCGUGCUUAACACAUGCAAGUCGAACGGAAAGGCCCCUUUUGGGGUACUCGCGUGGCGAACGGGUGAGUAACACGUGCGUAACCUGCCCUCGCCUUCGGGAUAACUUCAGGCAACUGGGGCUAAUACCGGCUAGGAAUCCUUGCUUCAUGGUGGGGGUUGGAAAGCUUCGGCGGUUUUGGAUGGACUCGCGGCUUAUCAGCUUGUUGGUGGGGUAGUGGCUUACCAAGGAUUUGACGGGUAGCCGGCCUGAGAGGGGGACCGGCCACAUUGGGACUGAGAUACGGCCCAGACUCCUACGGGAGGCAGCAGUGGGGAAUAUUGCACAAUGGGCGGAAGCCUGAUGCAGCAACGCCGCGUGCGGGAUGACGGCCUUCGGGUUGUAAACCGCUUUCGCCGGGGACGAAGCUUGUGGGACGGUAAUCGGUAAAAAAGCACCGGCUAACUACGUG
rnacentral:rRNA from 1 species